rnacentral:tRNA from 1 species
GCUUCUGUAGCUCAGUUGGUUAGAGCACUGCACCGGAAUCGCAGGGCCGCAGGUUCGAUUCCUGCCAGAGGAC